UAGGGAAUAUUGGGCAAUGGCCGAGAGGCUGACCCAGCCAUGCCGCGUGCAGGAAGAAGGCCUUCUGGGUUGUAAACUGCUUUUAUCUAGGAAGAAAACGCCCCUGCGGGGGUAACUGACGGUACUAGAUGAAUAAGCACCGGCUAACUCCGUGCCAGCAGCCGCGGUAAUACGGAGGGUGCAAGCGUUGUCCGGAUUUAUUGGGUUUAAAGGGUGCGUAGGCGGCCCGUUAAGUCAGCGGUGAAAUCCCAGGGCUCAACCCUGGAACUGCCGUUGAUACUGACGGGCUUGAGUUCGGUUAAGGCGGGCGGAACUGGUGGUGUAGCGGUGAAAUGCAUAGAUACCACCAAGAACCCCGAUUGCGUAGGCAGCUCGCUGAGCCGAAACUGACGCUGAGGCACGAAAGCGUGGGGAGCGAACAGG
rnacentral:rRNA from 1 species